GAUGUCACACCCCCAACUUUUCCCCUUGAAUUUGAAAGCAACAAUGUGAUAGAUUGUGAUUUGGCAGAUAGUCUAUGUGAUUUUGAUUAUGAACUAGAUGACAACGUAGGAUCGUAUAAAUUAGACUCAUCGGAGUCUGAUCAAGAAUAUUUUAAUUCUUCAGAUUUCGAAAUUGACUUUAAGUAUAAAUUGCAAAAGUGGAGUUUAGAUAAUAAUAUUAGUCACUCAGCGACGUCAGACCUGUUAAAAUUACUUAAAACUCAUUCAUGUCUAUCGUACCUUCCAUCUGACGCUAGGACGUUACUUCAUACCCCUACCAAAACUGUAUUGCGAGAAGUGCUACCCGGUAAUUAUUGCCAUUUUGGACUAGAAGUCGGAAUUCAGAGGAUUUUAGUGAGGAGAAAAUGGGAAGGGAAAGUAUGUGUGCAAAUAAAUAUUGAUGGACUCCCAAUUUCCACAAGCGAUAAGAAAGAGUGGUGGCCAAUUCUUGCUCAUAUUAGGGGAACGUCGACAUCGAACAUUAUUGUGGUUGGAAUAUACGAAGGGAAAUCUAAGCCUAUAAAUUUAAAUAAUUAUAUUGGUGAAUUUGUAGAAGAAGCUUUACGUUUAUAUAGGGAUGGUGUUGAUUUAAAUACUGUGAAAUUUCCGUUUGAAAUAGAAGCGUUUGUUUGUGAUGCGCCGGCCAGGGCAUUUGUGUGUCAAAUAAAAAAUCAUACGGGCUACUAUGGAUGUGGAAAGUGCACCUUAAAGGGAAAGUAUGUAGAAAAUAGAGUUGUGUUUAUCAAAACCGACGCGAGUGUAAGAACAGAUCAAAGUUUUAGAGAUAAAUUACAGCCAAAACAUCAUAAUGGUGAUAGUGCAGUGGAGAAAUUGCCAAUCGACAUCAUCAAAUCAUUUCCUUAUGAGUAUAUGCAUCUUGUGUGUCUGGGAGUUACUAAAAAACUGAUUAAAUUGUGGGCAGUUGGAAAAAUUAGGGUGUUUAGGCUGGCUCCCCGAGUAGCUGCAAAGAUUUCUAAAAAAUUAGUCAAAUUAGGUUCUUGUUUACCAUUGGAAUUUAACCGAAAGCAACGGCCACUUGGAGAAAUAGAUCGCUGGAAGGCUACGGAACUCAGAACAUUCCUACUAUACACUGGUUCAAUUGCACUGAAGAAAUAUUUGCCAGAAAAUCACUAUCAACUAUUUAUGAGCCUCUCGGUAGCAAUUAAUAUAUUAGUAAAUCCUAAAAUUCAAGACGAGUUGUUAUCAUAUGCUGACUCCCUACUGCGGUAUUUUGUGGACCAGUUUAAAAAAAUUUAUGGACGAGUUAACAUGUCAUAUAAUAUUCAUAGUUUAAUUCAUCUCGCGGAUGAUGUGAGAGCAUUUGGAUCAUUAGACAAAUUCAGUGCCUUCAAGUUUGAGAACAAAUUGGGUCAGAUAAAAAAAUUAAUUCGGAAACCAUCUUCGUCACUAGUGCAGGUUCAUCACCGCUUGGCUGAACAAAAUUUGUUAGACUUUGACGAUGAAAAGUUAAAAAAUCACGAAUACCCGGUUUUUUCCCGAUCCGCAGCUGACGGGAGUUACAAACUUGCAGAAUUUGAAACCUACUCUCUUAAGUGCGAUAUAAAAGACGGCAUAGUAUUUUUGAAUUCUCUACAAAUUGCUAUCAUAACUUCUAUUUGUUCGGACAAGAAAUCUUUUAUAUGUAGGAAGUUUGGUUCAAUUAGAAAAAAUUUUACUUAUCCAUGUGAUUCAACACUUCUCUCGGUUUACGAAGUUAAUUUGGAGUCUUUACAAGAAGCGACAACCCUUUCAUUUACUGAAAUAAAACACAAGUGUGUUUGUUUAUCUGAAACUGAAUUAAAAUUUGUCAUCUUUCCAUUACUUCACACCAGGUGAGAGAUGGACGAGUUUUGUGUUGUGAAGUUUCCGGAUGAAAGUGAUGCUGUGGCGGUAGUCUGGAAGGGAUGGAUUCUUGGUGACAAGUGCUAUUGGCCAAAAUUUUCGAAACACAUUACGAAGUUGGUAAAAAAUAAAACUGAGGUGGAUGUCGAAUCUUGGGAGCCUUGUAAAGUAAAGUUAAUACAUUCGUUUCCAACGUAUAAGGAGGCUCGAGCUCAUCUUAAGCGUGCCGAGUAUACAUCAGAUAUUGGUGGAGGCGACAAAUCCGAAACACUGGGAAGGUCCGGACAGGAGGCAGUCGUCCCUCCCACUCUACCACCCUUCCCGAUCAUGCCUGACAGCCAGCGAGCAGAUGAAGAAGCAUAUUCUUCGUCAACCAAUUUAAGUGCUGCACAAGUAGUUCCUGACCAGAUUUCCUCUAUUGGCUUGCCGACUGACGACAUUGUUGAAGUGUUUUUCAUCGAGAAAGAAGAUAAAGCGAUUCAAACUGAUUCUUACGAAUUAACAAACAUUAUGAGACUUUUGCAUUCCAUUAAAUUGGAACUUCAAGGACACGGACAGGCGCUACGCACCAUUCUGGGAAGGGAGUUGUCCAACGGGAGCCCUGCUGUAGUCGCUACGUUAUCAGACGAGCUCAACGACUUGGGUUUCCCAUUAACGAGAAUGGAAGACAUAAUUGAUUUGGAUGAUCGUGUCAAGAAGUCAAAAGUAGCGAAAUCGGACUUGGCCAUUAUUAUGGCAACUUGUAAGGGAACGGACGUCAACACCGUGGUAUUACAAAUCAUGUCGAAGCUUAUUGCAGAUGAUCUCAUGGCACAGUUCAGCUUAAAAGGAAAGCGCAAGAAGCGAUCUAGAUAGCUUAUCUAGAUAAGCUUUUUCUAAAGCUGAAUUUUGCAUAAGAUGUUCUUGGGCGUGGUUUAACAUCGAGGGCAACUUCCCAGCAUCUAAUUCAAUCUUUAUGUAAAUAAUUUUACUUUCUUAUUUCAUUUUUGUCGCGAAAGUGCACCGAAUGAAUUGAAACCGGAUUCGAUUGAUGUGAUCGAUCUGGCUGGAGAUAAUUAAGGAGACAUGACAUGAAUAAUUAUAAAUUCUGGACAACCAUAAAAUGUGGUGUGGUCUGGGCUGGCUGAUCAUGCAGGCCAACGCCUAAACCAAAAUGACCGGAUUAUGUAAUACUUCAGGGUGCAUUUAUUUAGGGAAUCGUAGUCAAAAAACUCAAUAGAUUUGGCUACGAUUAGCUUUAACUGCGAGUAAAUAAUUUGUCCAAAGUCAAAGUCAAGUAAAAAUGUGGCUAAAAUUAUCUAUAAAUAUUUAACUAAUUACAUACUUUGCCCGACGAGUUAAAAUUAUCUCAAAAUUAAAUUGGACCAAGUUUUCUUAAUAUUUUGGCAUUUGUCGUGACACAUCCGUGUCCGGGAUGUCUACUUUUUAAGAUAAGACAAACUGACUGACUGGCUUAUCUUGGUUUAAAUUAAUUAUCAUGACACACACACAUGUACUACAAACAUUUACGCAUUAUGUGUCAAUCAUUAGCGCGAUUGAGAUCUGCAACCAGUGCCAAAACUCAUUUCGUGAGAACAACUGCAAAAAAACGUGACGCAAAAAAGAUGCAAGCACAUAAAGUUCAGUCUCGCAGCUUGGGUUUAGCAUUUGCAUUGCGACGAUUAAAAGAGUUGUGAUGCAAUUUAAACAACUGAGGGAAUAAAAUGUUGCCCAAAUAUUUGAGGAAUUUGUGGUUGAACAUUUGGGCGAUUUUUUUGCGAAAUUCUACACCUAUUUAACGACAGACUAAAGAAUGAUUUACAAAAAAGAGGUCCUAUUCGAUGAAGAUUUAGUUAUUUAGACACGAAUUUCUCGCAUAUUUUGGUCCUCCAAAUAUUUGUGUGUGUGAGAGUUUCACUUACAUAUUCGCAAAAAUUCGCACACAUACCAAACUCAACCCCACCCAAUUUCUCAAGGAUACCGACUUUAUACUCUCCGUUAUCAGCUAAUACAACAGGAUCGAGAGAUGAGAUGAGCAAAAAAAGAUGACAAGAUCGAGUAUUUGUCUACGCUAAACCAUUAUCCCUACAUAUCAUGAUGAUUGGCGAAAGUAUUUAUA